UAAUGGCAGGUCAGCAUACUGCCGUGAAUACGUUUCCGGGCCUUGUACACACCGCCCGUCACACCAUGAGAGUUGGGGAUACCCGAAGCCUGUGAGCUAACUAUUUAUAGGAGCAGCAGUCGAAGGUAGAAUCAAUGAUUGGGGUGAAGUCGUAACAAGGUACC
rnacentral:rRNA from 1 species